rnacentral:sRNA from 1 species
AGGGAAGCCGGUACCCGGGUCCUGGCCCCAGCGCUGACGUUUUCUCUCCCCUUUCUUCUCUUUUCGCGGUUGCGGCGUCGCAGACGCUAGUGUGAGCCCCCAUGGCAGAUACGACCCCGAACGGCCCCCAAGGGGCGGGCGCUGUGCAAUUCAUGAUGACCAAUAAACUGGACACGGCAAUGUGGCUUUCUCGCUUGUUCACAGUUUACUGCUCUGCUCUGUUUGUUCUGCCUCUUCUUGGUGAGUAUCUUCCCAGUCUUGUUAUUCUCUUUGCUUCAUGCUGCCACAUAUACGAAAAAGGUCCUUGAUGUAAGUAAAACUGCUCUUUGUCUGACUUCUGAAUUACAGAUCAUUGACAUGAAUUCGAGUUCUAAGACAUUUUGGUAUUUGUCACAAAAAGUCCCUCUAUACCUUACAAACUUGUUAUGAAUUAUUUAGUGAUUUGAAAGUUUUAAGUUUAAAAGUGUUUAUUGUUGAAGUUUCACAAACUAGAACAUUUUAUAGAUAAAGGAUUGCACUUAAAAUCACCCCCCAGUCUCCAGGGGACUUUUUCAAAUUUGAAAUAGAUCUGCUUUUUUGAAACCUGUGUCUCUAAAGUUUGUUGAGUUGUCAGAUCUCUUGUUCUGUCAAUGUUUAAUUCUGGCAUACCUGAUAAGUUGAGUGUACUGAAUGAAUCUCUUGUACACUAAUUUUCAGA